GACGAACGCUGGCGGCGUGCCUAAUACAUGCAAGUCGAGCGGACAGAAGGGAGCUUGCUCCCGGAAGUUAGCGGCGGACGGGUGAGUAACACGUGGGCAACCUACCCUGUAGAUCGGGAUAACAUCGAGAAAUCGGUGCUAAUACCGGAUAAUCAUUUGAAGUGCAUGCUUCGAAUGUAAAAGAUGGCUCCGGCUAUCACUACGGGAUGGGCCCGCGGCGCAUUAGCUAGUUGGUAAGGUAAUGGCUUACCAAGGCAACGAUGCGUAGCCGACCUCACAGGUUGAUCGGCCACCCUGGGACGGAGACACGGCCCAGACUCCUACGGGAGGCAGCAGUAGGGAAUCUGCCGCAAUGGACGAAAGUCUGACGGAGCAACGCCGCGUGAGUGAUGAAGGUUUUCGGAUCGUAAAGCUCUGUUGUUAGGGAAGAACAAGUGCCGUUUGAAUAAGGCGGCACCUUGACGGUACCUAACCAGAAAGCCACGGCUAACUACGUGCCAGCCGCCGCCGUAACAC
rnacentral:rRNA from 1 species